rnacentral:lncRNA from 1 species
CGGGCAUCUGGUUCAUGCACCAACCCUCAAUGACACCCGACUGCUGUUUGUCAUUCCUAGAUGUCCUAUUAUCUGGAAGAGGCUUUGGGGACUGACCUUCACUCAGGUUUCUGUCCAGCUUAUCUUCAGAAGCCCACAUGUUUUCACAACAGAAAGUACAGACUCUGUCAUCUUCGGCAAGUUGGGGAAGGAUGUUGAAUGGACCAUCUACUUCUGAGAGGCGAAGCCCCAGACCCAUCUGGAUGGGAGAGGCCGAGAUUGAGUGGGCAGUAAAGUCUGUGUCCUUACCGCUCUAAGAUUUCCUAUUGAACAGUGACAGAACCAAAGCAGGGCAUUGCUCAUAAACCUGCCUCUCAGAAUUGAGGGAUCCCAGCCCUUGGGACGGUUCCAGCAGGUGCUAAAAUUUGUCUGACAGGAAUGUCGUGCAGAGGACAGAGAGACUGGAUGAGAAGACUAAUUAGAGUUCCUUCUGCUUUUCGGGAAACUCCAUGGUGCUAUGAAGAGUCUGGCUGGAGUGAUUUUUUGGAGUCUUUUGGAAGGAGCAUCGUUUUUUGGAAUGUUCAUUGUCUGUAGUUACAUGCGUUUACUGUAAGGGAGUUUUCCAUCUUGGCAGUGAUUUAAGCCCGCGUGGCCCGCUGGAAAGAAAAG